UACAACACCUUAUUCAAUGGUGUUAAUGCUCUCUACUGCUCCUACUACCUAGUAUUCUAUUCUUCACUCCAGCCUGUGUACAUUGAUCUCAGUUUGAGAAUUGUUGUUUGAAAAAUGGAAUGGGUCCACUUGAUCUUCCAUGUAAUCCUAGUAUUCCAUUUAUACACCAUCGAAGCACAAUCAUUAGAAACAACAACCAUAUCAAGAGACAACUUAACCAUCAUGUUUGUUGGUUUUUUAUCUGCCUUAAUUUUAAUG
rnacentral:lncRNA from 1 species